GUGAAGCGGCAAAAGCUCAAAUUUGAAAUCUGGGGGAUUUGUCCUCCCGAGUUGUAAUUUGAAGGCUUAUUGUUUGUUGCUUCGUGGCUGGUCUAUGUUCCUUGGAACAGGACGUCACAGAGGGUGAGAAUCCCGUGUGGCCGGCUGCGGAGUGCGUGUAAACAUUUGCCGACGAGUCGAGUUGUUUGGGAAUGCAGCUCUAAGUGGGUGGUAAACUCCAUCUAAAGCUAAAUAUUGGCGAGAGACCGAUAGCGAACAAGUACAGUGAUGGAAAGAUGAAAAGAACUUUGAAAAGAGAGUGAAAAAGUACGUGAAAUUGUUGAAAGGGAAGGGUAUUGGCAGAGACGUGGUGUGGUUGCAUGGGGUUCUCUUGUAGGGCUUCAUAUGCGUCUGCACCAGGCCAGCAUCGAUUUGGGGGGAUGGAUAAAUGCAUUGGGACGUGGCUGUUUCGACAGUGUUUAUAACCUUUGCGAAUACAUCCACUGUAGAUCGAGGAAUGCGUCUUUAUGACUAGGAUGCGC
rnacentral:rRNA from 1 species